UACAUAGGGUGCGAGCGUUGUCCGGAAUUAUUGGGCGUAAAGAGCUUGUAGGCGGUUUGUCGCGUCUGCCGUGAAAAUUCGAGGCUCAACCUCGAACUUGCGGUGGGUACGGGCAGACGUAGAGUGUGGUAGGGAGACUGGAAUUCUGGUGUAGCGGUGAAAUGCGCAGAUAUCAGGAGGAACACCGAGUGGCGAAGGCAGGUCUCUGGCCACUACUGACGCUGGAGAAGCGAAGACAUGGGAGCGAACAGGAAUUAGACUACCG
rnacentral:rRNA from 1 species